rnacentral:rRNA from 1 species
GAUCCUGACUCAAGAUGAACGCUAGCGGCAGGCCUAAAUCAUACGAUUCGAGCGGUAGGGACCUUCGGGUCCUAAGAGCGGCGCACGGGUGCGUAACGCGUAUGCAACCUGCCCUGUACAGGGGAAUAGCCCGUCGAAAGGCGGAUUAAUGCCCCAUGGGACUUGGGGGUGGCAUCGCCACCGAGGUACAUAUUUAUCAACCCGGGAUGGGCAUGCAUGGCAUUAACUGGACCGUGGGGUAACUGCCCACCGUGUGGACGAUGGUUAGGGGUUAUGAGAGGAAGGCCCCCCACUCGGGGAAUGAGACACCGCCCAUACUCCUAGAGGAGGCAGCAGUGAGGAAUAUUGGUCAAUGGGCGGAAGCCUGAACCAGCCAUGCCGCGUGCGGGAAGAAGGCGCUACGCGUCGUAAACCGCUUUUGUCCGGGGGUAACCGCGGGGACGUGUCCCCGCCUGCAAGUACCGGACGAAUAAGGGUCGGCUAACUCCGUGCCAGCAGCCGCGGUAAUACGGAGGACCCGAGCGUUAUCCGGAUUCAUUGGGUUUAAAGGGUGCGCAGGCGGCCCGGUCAGUCAGCGGUGAAAUGCCCGCGCUUCACGCGUGAGCUGCCGUUGAUACUGCCGGGCUAGAAUCUCAGCGAGGCGGGCGGUAUGCGCGGUGUAGC